UAGUGUUGAAUAACCAGUUUUGAAAAAAAUUAUCUUAGUACUUACUUAAAUUUUUUUGCUAGAAUUUGUUGAAAAAGGAACUCUACUAAGUGUGGUUUUAUGAAAAAUUAUACUUUUCAAUUUUAAACUAUUAAUUGAUUUUUAGUAAAUUUUUAAGUAAAAGAGGGUCUGCUGCCUAGGCAGCUCAAGUCGACUUGGUUUGAAAACACACAUCUCGAAUGUCAAACCUCGGAACACCAUAAGAUUUGGUAGAUAGGAGCAACUCUACGUCAACCUCAACUACAAAA
rnacentral:lncRNA from 1 species